GAUGAACGCUAGCUACAGGCUUAACACAUGCAAGUCGAGGGGCAGCAUGACCUAGCAAUAGGUUGAUGGCGACCGGCGCACGGGUGAGUAACACGUAUCCAACCUACCGGUUAUUCCGGGAUAGCCUUUCGAAAGAAAGAUUAAUACCGGAUAGUAUAACGAGAAGGCAUCUUCUUGUUAUUAAAGAAUUUCGAUAACCGAUGGGGAUGCGUUCCAUUAGUUUGUUGGCGGGGUAACGGCCCACCAAGACAUCGAUGGAUAGGGGUUCUGAGAGGAAGGUCCCCCACAUUGGAACUGAGACACGGUCCAAACUCCUACGGGAGGCAGCAGUGAGGAAUAUUGGUCAAUGGACGAGAGUCUGAACCAGCCAAGUAGCGUGAAGGAUGACUGCCCUAUGGGUUGUAAACUUCUUUUAUAUGGGAAUAAAGUGAGCCAC
rnacentral:rRNA from 1 species